GCCGGGAUAGCUCAGUUGGGAGAGCAGCAGACUGAAGCGGUUUGAGCACUCAAGCAUUCUGAAGGUCGGGCGUUCGAUCCGCCCUCCUGGCA